GGCGUUCGUAGUGUCAUUGGUAUGCACGCCGGGUUGUGGUCCCGGAAGUGAGGGUUCGAUUCCCUCCGAUCGCCC
rnacentral:tRNA from 1 species